GACGAACGCUGGCGGCGUGCUUAACACAUGCAAGUCGAACGGAGAGGGCGGGCUCUUGCUGCCUGCUGGAGAGGCGCGCACGGGUGAGUAACGCGUGUACACUGUGCUCGGCACUGUGGGAUAAUCGUGGGAAACGACGUCAUAUACCGGAUACGACCCUGCAGCACAGUCUGGCCUGGUAGGAAUCGCUGGUUGGGGAUGGGCUCGCGGCGUAUCAGCUUGUUGGUGGGGUAGUGGCUUACCAAGGCGAGGACGGGUAGCCGGCCUGAGGGGGUGACCGGCCACACUGGGACUGAGACACGGCCCAGACUCCUACGGGAGGCAGCAGUGGGGAAUAUUGCACAAUGGGCGGAAGCCUGAUGCAGCAACGCCGCGUGAGGGAUGACGGCCUUCGGGUUGUAAACCGCUUUCAGCAGGGACGAAGCGAAAGUGACGGUAACUGGAAAAAAAGCACCGGCUAACUACGUG
rnacentral:rRNA from 1 species